GAUGAACGCUGGCGGCGUGCCUAAUACAUGCAAGUCGAGCGAACAGACGAGGAGCUUGCUCCUCUGACGUUAGCGGCGGACGGGUGAGUAACACGUGGAUAACCUACCUAUAAGACUGGGAUAACUUCGGGAAACCGGAGCUAAUACCGGAUAAUAUAUUGAACCGCAUGGUUCAAUAGUGAAAGACGGUUUUGCUGUCACUUAUAGAUGGAUCCGCGCCGCAUUAGCUAGUUGGUAAGGUAACGGCUUACCAAGGCAACGAUGCGUAGCCGACCUGAGAGGGUGAUCGGCCACACUGGAACAGGAACACGGUCCAGACUCCUACGGGAGGCAGCAGUAGGGAAUCUUCCGCAAUGGGCGAAAGCCUGACGGAGCAACGCCGCGUGAGUGAUGAAGGUCUUCGGAUCGUAAAACUCUGUUAUUAGGGAAGAAAAAAUGUGUAAGUAACUAUGCACGUCUUGACGGUACCUAAUCAGAAAGCCACGGCUAACUACGUG
rnacentral:rRNA from 1 species